AGGGUUUGAUCAUGGCUCAGGAUGAACGCUGGCGGCGUGCUUAACACAUGCAAGUCGAACGAACCUUCGGGUUAGUGGCGGACGGGUGAGUAACGCGUGGGAAUCUGCCCUCAGGAGGGGGAUAACGGCCGGAAACGGCCGCUAAUACCCCAUAUGCCGAGAGGUGAAAUGAAUUUCGCCUGAGGAUGAGCCCGCGUCUGAUUAGCUUGUUGGUGAGGUAAUGGCUCACCAAGGCUUCGAUCAGUAGCUGGUCUGAGAGGAUGAUCAGCCACACUGGGACUGAGACACGGCCCAGACUCCUACGGGAGGCAGCAGUGGGGAAUUUUCCGCAAUGGGCGAAAGCCUGACGGAGCAACGCCGCGUGAGGGAUGAAGGCCUCUGGGCUGUAAACCUCUUUUCUCAAGGAAGAAGAUAUGACGGUACUUGAGGAAUAAGCCACGGCUAAUUCCGUGCCAGCAACCGCGGUAAUACGGGAGUGGCAAGCGUUAUCCGGAAUUAUUGGGCGUAAAGCGUCCGCAGGCGGCCUUUCAAGUCUGCUGUUAAAACGUGGAGCUUAACUCCAUCAGGGCAGUGGAAACUGUUGGGCUCGAGUGUGGUAGGGGCAGAGGGAAUUCCCGGUGUAGCGGUGAAAUGCGUAGAUAUCGGGAAGAACACCAGUGGCGAAGGCGCUCUGCUGGGCCAUAACUGACGCUCAUGGACGAAAGCCAGGGGAGCGAAAGGGAUUAGAUACCCCUGUAGUCCUGGCCGUAAACGAUGAACACUAGGUGUCGGGGGAAUCGACCCCCUCGGUGUCGUAGCCAACGCGUUAAGUGUUCCGCCUGGGGAGUACGCACGCAAGUGUGAAACUCAAAGGAAUUGACGGGGGCCCGCACAAGCGGUGGAGUAUGUGGUUUAAUUCGAUGCAACGCGAAGAACCUUACCAGGGUUUGACAUCCUGCGAACCUCUAAGAAAUUGGAGGGUGCCUUCGGGAACGCAGUGACAGGUGGUGCAUGGCUGUCGUCAGCUCGUGUCGUGAGAUGUUGGGUUAAGUCCCGCAACGAGCGCAACCCACGUUUUUAGUUGCCAGCAUUCAGUUGGGCACUCUAGAGAGACCGCCGGUGAUAAACCGGAGGAAGGUGUGGACGACGUCAAGUCAUCAUGCCCCUUACAUCCUGGGCUACACACGUACUACAAUGCUACGGACAAAGGGCAGCAAACUCGCGAGGGCAAGCAAAUCCCAUAAACCGUGGCUCAGUUCAGAUCGUAGGCUGCAACUCGCCUACGUGAAGCAGGAAUCGCUAGUAAUCGCAGGUCAGCAUACUGCGGUGAAUACGUUCCCGGGCCUUGUACACACCGCCCGUCACACCAUGGAAGUUGGCCACGCCCGAAGUCGUUACUCCAACCCUUGUGGAGGAGGACGCCGAAGGUGGGGCUAAUGACUGGGGUGAAGUCGUAACAAGGUAGCC
rnacentral:rRNA from 1 species